UGGGCGGGUAGCACUGGGCAGCCACAACAGAUGCAGCCGGGACUAUAGCAGGCGGCUGCUGCAUCAGAAGCAGCAGGAGAUGAAGCAACCAGACACAGCCAUGAUGAGAGCCUAGUACAACAAAUGGCUGUCUCAGCAAGGCCCUGGCAGAACUGACCACUAGAUUCCAGAUGCCAGCAUGAUGCCGACCAGACUUCCCUGGACAGACAACCCCACCAAUGUGUCCUGGAGCUCCACUUCCCCAGAGCCCCACCCUACUAGGGAAAGAGAGAGACAGGCUGGGAGUAUGGAUCGACCUGUCAUCGCCCAUGUUUAGUGGGGAAGCAAUUACAGAAGCCAGACCUUCCACCUUCUGCAUCCCACAAUGACCUUGGGUCCAUACUCCCAGAGGGAUAAAGAAUAGGAAAGCUAUCAGGGGAGGGGAUGGGAUAUGGAGAUAGUGGGAAUUGUGUGGAGUUGUACCCCUCUUAUCCUAUGGUUUUGUUAAUGUCUACUUUUUAAAUAAACAAAAACAGAAAUAAAUAAAUAAAUAAAUCCAGGGCUGGGUGGUGGCACACCUGGCUGAGUGCACAUGUUACAAUGGGCAAAGACCCAGGUUCAAGUCCCCAUUCCCCACCUGCAGGAUGAAAGCUUCACUAGCAGUGAAGCAGUGCUGCAGGUGUCUCUCUGUCUUUCCUCCUCUCUAUCCAACCCUUCCCUCUCAAUUUCUGGCUGUCUCUAUCCAAUACAUAAAUAAAGAUAAUAAAAAAAAUAAAA